rnacentral:rRNA from 1 species
UUCGUGUGAACAGUGGUUGAUCACGAGUUAGUCGGUCCUAAGUUCAAGGCGAAAGCCGAAAAUUUUCAAGUAAAAACAAAAAUCAAAAAUAUUUGCCAAUCAUCGAUUUUUUUUUACACUUGAAUAAUUUUGAACGAAAGGGAAUACGGUUCCAAUUCCGUAACCUGUUGAGUAUCCGUUUGUUAUUAAAUAUGGGCCUCGUGCUCAUCCUGGCAACAGGAACGACCAUAAAGAAGCCGUCGAGAGAUAUCGGAAGAGUUUUCUUUUCUGUUUUAUAGCCGUACUACCAUGGAAGUCUUUCGCAGAGAGAUAUGGUAGAUGGGCUAGAAGAGCAUGACAUAUACUGUUGUGUCGAUAUUUUCUCCUCGGACCUUGAAAAUUUAUGGUGGGGAUACGCAAACUUCUCAACAGGCCGUACCAAUAUCCGCAGCUGGUCUCCAAGGUGAAGAGUCUCUAGUCGAUAGAAUA